AGGAUACCAAGCAAAAAUAAUAAUAAAUAAAAAAGUAAAAUGGCACAAUCAAAGUGUGUUAAAAGUAGCCAAAAUACUUUUAUUUAGAAUACAGAAUAAAAUUUUAAAAUAUCCACAACGCAUUUCACCUAUGAUGGCUUUCUCAAGUGGAGACAAAAAAGGCCACACAGCAUAAUUCUAUGGAACUAUUCUGGACAGGAGCCAUGUGUGCGGUCAGUCAGAAAUAAGACCUCUAUACGAAUCCCGAACCCCUGAACUGAUCUGGGUGAUUUUUUAAUAUGUUGCUCACCCAGAUCAGUGGAUAUGCUUUUUAUGGUGAUAUUAUGUGUUUUGGGGGUACUUUCAGAUUGUCUAUAAAUUAUGUUCCUUUUUCGCCUGGAGAUAAUUGAGUUGAGACA